AUGCGCACGGCCUCUCUAGGUGCACAGUCGUUUCCGUCGGUCUUGGGUCUGGCCGUGCCUGACACUGCAAAGUCCGCGCCGGCUCCCAGAGAGGGCGCCAAGAAAGCGUCACCAAAGCCAGAAGAAAGACGGCGAGAAGCGCAAGCGCAGCCGCAAGGAGGAGCUACUCCAUCUGCAUGUACAAGGUGCUGAAGCAGUCCACCCGACACCGGCAUCUCGUCCGAGCCAUGGGCAUCAUGAACUCCUUCGCCACGACAUCUUCGAGCGCAUCGCGGGAGAGGCGUCUCGCCUGGCGCACUACAACAAGCGCUCCACCAUCACGUCCCGCGAGAGCCAGACGGCCCUGCGCCUGCUGAGGGAAUAAAUAGUUCAACUUUUAUAUAUGGUAUCGAGAAAUUUCGUGAGGUUUUUAUAUCGUUGGUUCACAAACACGUGCCUACACCGUUCAUGUGAAAAUUUCUUAAGCAGGUAGAUGGAAGUUUGGUUUUGAUAACCAGGAAUUCACACCGUUAACACCAUCUGUGCUUCCUACCUGAGAUACCCUGAAAUCUACCCAAUACCAUUAAAUAGUGACUUUUUCCCUAAGAAUUAUCACUUGGAAAAGCUUGUCCAGUUUAAUGAUUAGUUCCAUACAAUGGCAACAAAAUAUAUAUGAUUUCUGAAGCCAGAGUUUGGGAUGCCUGAAGAACAGAAGGACCACCAAUUUGCCAGAGAAGUUGAUUAGGUUCUCUGCUUUUGGAACACUGGAUUUGGAAUCACACAGCCUCAUUAACCUUAAAAGAUUAUACUGAUGGCUUUGGGGAAUCAUAAAUCCUAGGCUGGCCACAAUAGAAGCAAGGAAAGCAAUUAGGAGGCUGUUGCAGUUUUGUGGUCUGGAGCAGUGAUUAAGUCUUAAAGUCUUUCCAGACCAGCAGCAUCUGCAUUAGUUGAAGUUAUUAAAAAUGGAAAUUCCCAGGUUCCAUUAUUUGUGUUAACAAGCUUUCUGGGUGAUGCUGAUGCAUGCUAAAGUGUGAAAAACACCAGAUAAAUAACAUGUUGGAGUGCAGUGGUGGUAAUGGAAACAGAAAUGUUGGAUUUUAUCUUUGACGUAGAAUAGAUGUGGCUGAGGAACAGGAUUUAGGUAACAGUGAAACCCCUAGAUUUUUGGCUUGAGCAACUGUGUAGAUCGUGGUACUAUUAGGAUAGAACACUGGGAGAAGAUACUCGUUGGGACACUGAAGGGAGAUCCAGAGUUCCGCUUGAAAUUUGAGAAGCUCUUUGCUAUUCAAGUGGAUAUGUGCAGCUGACAGUUGGAGAGAUGGAUCUAGAGUUCAGUAAAGACAACACAAGCCUGUCUUUAAGAUCUACCUGUGAACUGUGAACACAGCAAUGGGAAUGAUGGAGAUCACCUUAAAGUAUUUUUCUAGACUUUAUUACUCAUGUGUUUGUCAUGAGGUAUAACUGAGUAGUUCAUAGUCCUAUAAUGUAUGUUACUGACUAGGUAGUAUUUGUUUUUAUAAUUCUGUUUCUGUUACAGUGCUGCCACAUGUGUUUCCCAGAAACUCAUUUUGCCCACAGUUCUUAGGGUUGGCCUGAUUUGUUUGUUGUCUCAACCUGCUUCUUACUGUGAUUAGUUCAGGAAUCUAGAUCAAACUAAUUGGCAUUUAACAUUUCAGGAAGUGAACUGAGUUAACAACUGACUAACUCAGCAGGGGAGUGUAGCAUGCUAUUAUCUUUUGGGAAAGCAGCUUAUUUGCUUUCAAGAGGCAGCAGCAGGAUGGACUGUCUUUAGGUAUGAAGGCAAGAAUGAUUAUAGACAAAAUGCAGAGGAGGGCACAGUGUGGGAGAAUCAGAGAACUGAGCCACUCAUGGAGUUCAGCCAACCUUGGAUCCCUGCUGUACCUUUGGACUUCCAGUUAAGCCAAUUUGUCUGACAUAUUUGUUUAUACCAGUUUGAAUCUUGAAAUAUUUCAGGAAUAAUAAAUAAUUUCCUAGAUACAAGGAAAGCUCUUUCGUGAAAGGUCUCAAAGAAGUCAAAUGGGGUCUAUUAGGACAGAGUUGCUCCUAUUACAUAUUUGGAACAAAUGUCCAAAUGUUGAAAAUCAAUACUUGACUAAGGCUAAAGACUAGUAUUACCAUCACAGGAAGAAUGUCCAGGUUUUUUUUUUUUUUUUAGAUGUGAAAUGUUAUUUAAAAUUUUUAAAUUAAAUCAAAAAAUUUUAGUAGUUGUAUUAAUUUCCUGGGGCUGUCAAAGUACCAUAAAUUGUAUGGCGUAAAACAACAGAAACUUAUUCUUUCAUGGUUUUAGAGGCCAGAAGUUUGAAAUCAAAGUGUUGGUAGGGCCAUGCUCUCUCCAAACCCACUAGGGGAAGACUCUUGUCUUUCAGUGUCUGGUAGCCCCAUUUGUUUUUUGGUUUGUGGCAGCAUAACUGUAAUCUCUACCUCAGUCUUUUCAUGUAUGUCUCCAUGUUUUCUUUCUUUCUUUUUUUAGAUGGAGUUUCUCUCUUGUUGCCCAGGCUGGAGUGCAAUGGCAUGAUCUUGGCUCACUGCAACCUCUGCCCCCCGGGGUUCAAGCAAUUUCCCUGCCUCAGCCUCCUGAGUAGCUGGGAUUACAUGCGUGCAUCAGCAUGCCUGGCUAAUUUGGUAUUUUUGGUAGAGAUGGAGUUUCAUCAUGUUGGUCAGGCUGGCCUCGAACUCCUGACCUCAGGUGAUCCACCUGCCUUGGCCUCCCAAAGUGCUGAGAUUACAGAUGUGAGCCACCGCACCCAGCCAUCUCCAUGUCUUCUUAUAAGGGUAUCAGUCAUACUGGAUUAGGGCCCACCCUAACGACCUCAUUUUAACUUGGUUACAUCUGCAAAGACCCUAUUUCCAAAGAAGGCAAAAUUCUAAGGAACUAGGGGUUAGACUUCAACAUAUCUUUCGGGGGGACACAACUCAACCCAUAACAUUAGUCAAUGGCUGUGGCAGGCUAAAUGUGGCUCCCAAAUAUGUCCAUAUCCUAAUCCCUAGAGCCUGAGUAUUACCUUAUAUAGCCAAGGAGAUUUUGCAGAUGUAAUUCUGAGAUUGAGAGAUUAUGCCGGAUUAUCCAGGUAGGCCCCAAAUGUAAUCACCACAGUCCGUAUAGGAGAGGCAAGAUAGUCAAGUGUAGAAGCAGAGAGAGAUUUGAAGAUUAACAGGCUGCUUGCUUUGAAGACAGAAGGGACCACAAACCAGAAAUAAACCUCUAGAAGCUGGCAAAGGCAUGGAAAUAGACCCUCCCCCUUAAGGCCUCUGGAGGGAGUGCAGCCUUGAUUUCUACUGAGUAAAAUUGAUUUUGUACUUCAGACCCCCAAAACUGUAAGAGAAUAAAUGACUGUUGUUUUAAAACCAUUGAGUUUGUAGUAAUUUGUUGCAGCAGCCACAGGAAACUAAUACAACAGCUAUACAGAGUUUUUUUCAAUAAUUGGAGAAAUCUGAAUAUGGAUUGCAUAUUAAUACUGAAUCAGCAUUAAAUUUGUUAGGUAUAAUAAUGUUAUUGUAGCUAUUUAGGAGAAUAUCCUAUUUUUAAGAGACAUGCCACCGUAUUUACGGAGAAGUGCCAACAUAUUUGCAGUUUAUUUUCAGAUGGGUCAGGGGCUGUGUGUACCUGAGAAGACAAAGAUAAGGCAAAUGCAGCGAAAUCAUAAUAAUUGGUGAAUCCAGGUGAAGGGACUAUGGUUGCUCUUUGUACUUUUUUUUCCAACUUUUCUGUAGGUUUAAAAUUUUCAAAAUAAAAAAAUGGGAAAUACUUUAAAAACUAAUCAAAGACAGUACAGAAACUCAUACAUUAAUGUAUUUUAUUUUUACAAUAAAAUUAAUGUAAAUUGAUAUUUUACUAAUUUCACCCCAAGUUAUAUUAAAAGCUUUAUUAUAUACGUUUGAUAAUAGCAUAUGUAAACUAGAACUCUGAAUGAUAUCCAUUGGUCAUAAUACAUACUGUGUAGUGGGUAAUGGUGACUUUUGUGAUUGCACAAGACCAGAGAUGCCCCAAAUGACAUUGACAUAGACAUCUCGUUAUUCUAAGGCUGAAACUGAAGUUGAAUAGAGGGUUUCAGUCAAAUACUGAGAUGAAAGCUGAGGCAGUCCUGGGGGCAAGGGGGAAGUGUGUGUGUGUGUGUGUGUGUAUACACACAGACGACAUGAUUUCUAAAUAUUUACAGAAAGGGUAGAUUAUCUACAAAAGAACAAGAAUCAGACUGAUAUGAGAUCUUACAAACCUAAUCCCCUUCUUUCCUAAACUCCAGAUUCUCAUAUUUCUGACUUCCUGUGAUAUUUAUACUUCGAUACUUACCAGGAGUCUUCAACAUUUUGUUCAACAGUAUUCUUGGUUUCCUUCCUCCAAGACUACUCCUCCCUCCUAUCAGCAAACAGUAGCUCUUUUCAAGUGCUCAGUGUAAAAACCUACAAUUAAUCCUUGGUUUCUCUUUUAGUCAGCCUAUACUAAAUCAAUUUCAUUUAAAGUAUCUCCGCAACUAACCUGCAUCUCCACAUCUCCAUUGCUACCACCAGCCUCUCCAGUCAAAUUCUCCAAGAGUACUCUAUCUCAUUUAAAAGACAAAAUCUCUGCAAUGGCCUGUGAAGCUCCUUAAUGGCCUACAUGAUCUGGCCUUCAAGCACCUCUCUGAUCUCUGCAAAACUUUCCCUUGGUCAGUGUGCUUCAGCCACAUUCACCAAGCUUGUUCCUGCCUUGGGGCCUUUGUACUUACCAUGUUGUUCUGAGAAUACUCUGCCUUAAGAUAUUCUAUAACUAUCUUACUGUAUACAGCUCUGCUCAAGUAUUAACUGAUCAAACCUGUCAUCCCUAUUCCACUCCAUGUUCUGCUUUACUUAACAAAAUUGCACAUAUGGCCCCCUGAAUAAUAUAAAUUUAUUUGUUCACUUAUUUUUACUUAUCCACUAAUUAAAGUGUAGACUUUUUCUCUUCUGUUUACUGCUGUAUUCCCAGCAUGUUUUAUCCGAAUGUGCAGUGGUUUUUCUUCUCCCUUACUGUAGGAAGUCGUGUGCACAAAUACACAUAAUGGAACCUGAAUGUCAUAUUGCUUUCAUACCUGUGUGAAUUUUGGUAAGAAAGGAAAAGUAGCGAUUGACAAGUAAUAUAAUUACAUUGAGUCACUCUCAUAGUUAGCUGUUUAUUGCUUUCCUGCUCUUAUUCUCAGUCCCCAGGACCAAAUGUUGACCACUCCCUCCCCCACAUAUAACUGGUUAUUUACUCGACGCCAUGAAGGUGCCUGUUAAAUUGAAGUCACAUACCUGCCUUACUAACUCAACCUUUCCCUACUGUCUUUCUGAACCCCACCUCCAUGCUUUAAAUUAACUUUGCAGGCUUAGGCUUCAUCUCUCAGUAGAGCCAUGUAAGGUAUGUGUAAAAGGAAGAAAAUGUUUUCUGGGGAUGAAGCUUUGAAAAGCUUGCUUUUUUUUUUCUUUUGGCAAUAAAAUAAGGUACAUUUAGCACAACACCUAAUAACUAAAAAAUCUGUUUUUAUUUGGGUGGAGUACACAGCAAGUGUGUCAUCCUGGAAGAUACUAUUUGGAAUUUUAGGUAGGUACAUAAAGAGAAGAAAGUGAAAAGGGGCUACUAGGACACUGCAGUAUGCUUAAUGUGUAUUUUCUAGUAAGUUUGUAUUAUGCCUUUAUCUUGGUACUUUUAUCUUCUGUUCUCACUUGAUCUUUUUGAAAUGUAUUUUCAAUCCUAAUAAAAAUAUAUAAAGUCCUGAUUUAAUAAAGGAUUAAAUGAAA